rnacentral:rRNA from 1 species
UACGGGGGGGGGCAAGCGUUGUUCGGAAUUACUGGGCGUAAAGGGCUCGUAGGCGGCCAACUAAGUCGGAUGUGAAAUCCCCAGGCUUAACUUGGGAACUGCAUCCGAUACUGGAUGGCUUGAAUCCGGGAGAGGGAUGCGGAAUUCCAGGUGUAGCGGUGAAAUGCGUAGAUAUCUGGAGGAACACCGGUGGCGAAGGCGGCAUCCUGGACCGGCAUUGACGCUGAUGAGCGAAAGCCAGGGGAGCAAACGGG